UGCACUGUAAUCGUGAAUUGU
rnacentral:piRNA from 1 species